rfam:Myotis lucifugus cont2.1725, whole genome shotgun sequence.
GCCGGUUUGGCUCAGUGGAUAGAGCAUCGGCCUGCAGACUGAAAGGUCCCAGGUUCGAUUCCGGUAAAGGGCA